rnacentral:rRNA from 1 species
AUGAACGCUAGCUACAGGCUUAACACAUGCAAGUCGAGGGGCAGCAUGGUCUUAGCUUGCUAAGGCCGAUGGCGACCGGCGCACGGGUGAGUAACACGUAUCCAACCUGCCGUCUACUCUUGGACAGCCUUCUGAAAGGAAGAUUAAUACAAGAUGGCAUCAUGAGUCCGCAUGUUCACAUGAUUAAAGGUAUUCCGGUAGACGAUGGGGAUGCGUUCCAUUAGAUAGUAGGCGGGGUAACGGCCCACCUAGUCUUCGAUGGAUAGGGGUUCUGAGAGGAAGGUCCCCCACAUUGGAACUGAGACACGGUCCAAACUCCUACGGGAGGCAGCAGUGAGGAAUAUUGGUCAAUGGGCGAGAGCCUGAACCAGCCAAGUAGCGUGAAGGAUGACUGCCCUAUGGGUUGUAAACUUCUUUUAUAAAGGAAUAAAGUCGGGUAUGCAUACCCGUUUGCAUGUACUUUAUGAAUAAGGAUCGGCUAACUCCGUGCCAGCAGCCGCGGUAAUACGGAGGAUCCGAGCGUUAUCCGGAUUUAUUGGGUUUAAAGGGAGCGUAGGUGGAUGUUUAAGUCAGUUGUGAAAGUUUGCGGCUCAACCGUAAAAUUGCAGUUGAUACUGGAUAUCUUGAGUGCAGUUGAGGCAGGCGGAAUUCGUGGUGUAGCGGUGAAAUGCUUAGAUAUCACGAAGAACUCCGAUUGCGAAGGCAGCCUGCUAAGCUGCAACUGACAUUGAGGCUCGAAAGUGUGGGUAUCAAACAGGAUUAGAUACCCUGGUAGUCCACACGGUAAACGAUGAAUACUCGCUGUUUGCGAUAUACAGCAAGCGGCCAAGCGAAAGCGUUAAGUAUUCCACCUGGGGAGUACGCCGGCAACGGUGAAACUCAAAGGAAUUGACGGGGGCCCGCACAAGCGGAGGAACAUGUGGUUUAAUUCGAUGAUACGCGAGGAACCUUACCCGGGCUUAAAUUGCAGAUGAAUUACGGUGAAAGCCGUAAGCCGCAAGGCAUCUGUGAAGGUGCUGCAUGGUUGUCGUCAGCUCGUGCCGUGAGGUGUCGGCUUAAGUGCCAUAACGAGCGCAACCCUUGUUGUCAGUUACUAACAGGUCAUGCUGAGGACUCUGACAAGACUGCCAUCGUAAGAUGUGAGGAAGGUGGGGAUGACGUCAAAUCAGCACGGCCCUUACGUCCGGGGCUACACACGUGUUACAAUGGGGGGUACAGAGGGCCGCUACCACGCGAGUGGAUGCCAAUCCCAAAAACCUCUCUCAGUUCGGACUGGAGUCUGCAACCCGACUCCACGAAGCUGGAUUCGCUAGUAAUCGCGCAUCAGCCACGGCGCGGUGAAUACGUUCCCGGGCCUUGUACACACCGCCCGUCAAGCCAUGGGAGCCGGGGGUACCUGAAGUGCGUAACCGCGAGGAGCGCCCUAGGGUAAAACUGGUGACUGGGGCU